rnacentral:rRNA from 1 species
ACGGAAGGCAGCAGUGGGGAAUAUUGGACAAUGGGGGAAACCCUGAUCCAGCGACGCCGCGUGAGUGAAGAAGUAUUUCGGUAUGUAAAGCUCUAUCAGCAGGGAAGAUAAUGACGGUACCUGACUAAGAAGCCCCGGCUAACUACGUGCCAGCAGCCGCGGUAAUACGUAGGGGGCAAGCGUUAUCCGGAUUUACUGGGUGUAAAGGGAGCGUAGACGGUAUGGCAAGUCUGAUGUGAAAACCCGGGGCUCAACCCCGGGACUGCAUUGGAAACUGUCAAACUAGAGUGCAGGAGGGGUAAGUGGAAUUCCUAGUGUAGCGGUGAAAUGCGUAGAUAUUAGGAGGAACACCAGUGGCGAAGGCGGCUUUCUGGACGACAACUGACGCUGAGGCGCGAAAGUGUGGGGAGCAAACAGGAUUAGAUACCCUGGUA